rnacentral:lncRNA from 1 species
GUUGUUAAAUGUAUUAUGUCAUGACAUUUAGUUGUAAAGCAUACCUAAUUUGUGCCUUCUUUUAACUGCUACUACUACAGAAUACUUGUUAUUCGAUUGUCCCUGUGCAAUGCACAGAAAAACCUAUAGGGCGCGUUUGGUUCGCACUAUGAAAGAUUAUUAGGAAUAAAAAGAUAUCCGAAAAUCUUAUUCCUAUUCAUCCUAUUACUAAGAAUAUGACAUUCCUGUGUUUGGUUCGUACGGUCAUAUUAUUUAUUAAUGUUAUUUAAGAUUACAAAAAAUAUACAAAUAAUUUAUUUAUUUCUUUAAUUAAUUUUAGAUAAUGCUAUCAAAAAUUUCAACAUUUUUUUUUUUAAAAAAAGUAGAGAGAACAUAGGUUAGAGAGAGAGCAUAAUUAAAGAAAUAGGAAGAGAAAUAGAGUCGGAGUUAGAGAGAAUGAGAGAGUUGAAAUUUUAGAAAAAGAGGGAGAGAGAGAGCUUAGUUUAGAGAGAAAAAUAAUUGAAGUUUGGAGAGAAAAAGAUAAGUUUAGAGAGAGAUAUGAGGUUAGAGUAUAAAGAAAAAUAAUACUAACUAGCCGGCGGGUAGGGAGAAAGAAAGAAAACAUAUUAUGAUUAUUCCGAUCCAUUAAUAUGAGGAUAUCCACCCUCUCUCAAAAGAAUGAGAUUAGUACUUUGGGAUGAAUCUCAUUCCCAAGUAAAUAUAAUAUUACCAACUAGAUUACUUAGUGCGUUUAGCCAAGUACCGCCAUAGUUUUUUAUUCCUAUUGAAUUACUAGGAAUCUUAAAAAGAUGGCGCAAACCAAACGCACCCAUAUAGUUAUAUAGUUGGUCCCUAUUUUAUGUUGGGCUAUCAUUUGAGGCAUUUUCUUGUAUAAUGUUAAUGAACGCCUCCGAAAGGGUUUAGAAUAAUCUGAAACAAAUUCAACAUGAAUCUCACUCUAUUCAACCUCUACUAAUUUAAAUGCUUCACUUUUGUAUAUUAUGAGUCUCAAAUUUUCUUAUUAUGCUACUGUUUCUAUCUAUUUUUGUAUAUGUAGUGCACCAUUCUCUUCAUAUUUUGUACUUGCAUGCCUGGAUAUGAAUUUAAUGGGCUUGCAUGGCUGCACCGUUCUUAAUUCAUGCUAAACAAAUUGCACUUCUGAUAGGGGCAUUAUCCUUCUAAAUUUUGAUCUGAAAAGUUGGCAAUAAGAAACAUCUUAUUUACGUAACUUUUGCAUCUAAGAGGUUGAACUCAACCUGAUAUAAUCUAAAAUUAAAUUAGCAAUCAGAUCUUGAUUGUAUUGGCUAACUUUUGCAUCCUAAUUAUACAAGAGAAUUAGUGAGCCCGUUUUUAAUUUAGAGAAAAAGGAAUUGCGACCAAUUAAGUAAUAUAUCUCCAAAGAAAAAACCCAUUAAAUUCAUUGCAUAUCACAGAUCUAACUGUUGGAAUGUUCUUGAUGUGAUUUGAUUGUGAGAUUGUUAAAAAAUUGGAAAAAGAAAUAGAAAUGAUGGAAUGACAUCAUGGGAAUGAGAUGAAGGUUAUGAAAGAAAAUCAAGCUAGAUUAGAUUCUAAAAUUGUACUGAUGAGGUCAAUCAUUAAUUGAAGGUUUCUGAAGAGAUACAAUCAUGUGGUUCUAGAUCCUAUGAGACUGAGAGUUUUUAUAUUUAUUAUAUCAUUAGCACAUUCAAAUUUAUCUGUAUAUCAUGGUGUUUUUUAUCUAUUUAUUUGAGAAAAUCGCUUUUUGUUUAUAAUUUCUAAAAUAUUUUUUUUCUAUUUCUAUUGUUUAUUUUGUAUAAGUAUAG